rnacentral:rRNA from 1 species
UACAGAGGGGGCUAGCGUUAUUCGGAAUUAUUGGGCGUAAAGGGCUCGUAGGUGGCCAACUAAGUCAGACGUGAAAUCCCUCAGCUUAACUGGGGAACUGCGUCUGAUACUGGAUGGCUUGAGUUUGGGAGAGGGAUGCGGAAUUCCAGGUGUAGCGGUGAAAUGCGUAGAUAUCUGGAGGAACACCGGUGGCGAAGGCGGCAUCCUGGACCAACACUGACACUGAUGAGCGAAAGCCAGGGGAGCAAACGGG